rnacentral:rRNA from 1 species
CCUACGGGGGGCAGCAGUGGGGAAUAUUGGACAAUGGGGGCAACCCUGAUCCAGCCAUGCCGCGUGUGUGAAGUAGGCCCUCGGGUUGUAAAGCACUUUCAGUGAGGAAGAACGCCUGGUGGUUAAUACCCAUCAGGAAAGACAUCACUCACAGAAGAAGCACCGGCUAACUCCGUGCCAGCAGCCGCGGUAAUACGGAGGGUGCGAGCGUUAAUCGGAAUUACUGGGCGUAAAGCGCGCGUAGGUGGCUUGAUAAGCCGGUUGUGAAAGCCCCGGGCUCAACCUGGGAACGGCAUCCGGAACUGUCAAGCUAGAGUGCAGGAGAGGAAGGUAGAAUUCCCGGUGUAGCGGUGAAAUGCGUAGAGAUCGGGAGGAAUACCAGUGGCGAAGGCGGCCUUCUGGACUGACACUGACACUGAGGUGCGAAAGCGUGGGUAGCAAACAGGAUUAGAUACCCGAGUAGUC